rnacentral:rRNA from 1 species
AUACGUAGGGGGCAAGCGUUGUCCGGAAUGAUUGGGCGUAAAGGGCGCGUAGGCGGCCCGGUAAGUCUGGAGUGAAAGUCCUGUUUUUAAGAUGGGAAUUGCUUUGGAUACUGCCGCGCUUGAGUGCAGGAGAGGUUAUCGGAAUUCCCGGUGUAGCGGUGAAAUGCGUAGAGAUCGGGAGGAACACCAGUGGCGAAGGCGGGUAACUGGACUGCAACUGACGCUGAGGCGCGAAAGUGUGGGGAGCAAACAGGAUUAGAUACCCUGGUAGUCCACACUGUAAACGAUGAAUGCUAGGUGUAAGAGGUAUCGACCCCUUUUGUGCCGGAGUCAACACAAUAAGCAUUCCGCCUGGGGAGUACGGCCGCAAGGUUGAAACUCAAAUGAAUUGGCGGGG